AAUUAUGAUGUCUUUCACCACUUUGUGUAUUCAUUUACUUCUAACUUUGAACUGUUACUAACUAGGGGAAUCCGACUGUUUAAUAAAAACAAAGCAUUGAGAAGUUUUUUUGGAUUGAAAGUGUCUUUAACUCAAUGUGAUUUCUGCCCAGUGCUCUGAAUGUCAAUGUGAAGAGAUUCGACCAAGCGCGGGUUAACGGCGGGAGUAACUAUGACUCUCUUAAGGUAGCCAAAUGCCUCGUCUUCUAAUUAAAGACGAGCAUGAAUGGAUUAACGAGAUUCCUACUGUCCCUACUUACAUGCUAGUGAAACCACAGUCCGGGGAACGGGCCGGAUAAAAUAGACAGCGGGGAAAGAAGACCCUAUUGAGCUUGACUCUAGUUUGUAUUUGUGACGUGAUAUUGGGGGUGUAGCAUAAGUGGGAGAUGCAAUUCGACAAUGAAAUACCACUACCGCAAUCAUUGCUUUACUAAGAAGAUGAUAUGAAAGAAAAAUGACGCAAUUGUUUUUAUUUAUAAGUAUUAUUAUAAUGGUAAUGAAGGUUAUUGUGAGGGCUAAUAGUUAUUCAUAUGUUUUAGGAGUGAAGGAGUACAAUAUAUAGCAAUAUUUAUUGUUCUCUUAUUUAUCAUUCCACUUGUGAGUACUCUAUUAGUUGUAGCAGUGAUCCUCUCUUACUAUUAAACCUUUCUUAUCUUCAAUAUUUUCAGAUGGGGAGUUUGGCUGGGGCGGCACAUUUGUGAAAUGAUAGCGCAAGUGUCCAAAGGAAUACUCAAAAAGGACAGAAACCUUUUGUAGAGGAGAAGGCUAAAUAGUAUUCUUGAUUAUGAUGUUCAGUAAAAAUAAUACUAUGAAAGUAUGGCCUAUCGAUCCUUUAGUGGGGUAAGCAGCAAUGCGAUUUAUAACCCUGUAUAUAACCAUUUCUUUUAUUCUAGAGGUGUCAGAAAAGUUACCAUAGGGAUAACUGGCUUGUGGCGGCCAAGAGUUCAGAUCGACGUCGCUUUUUGAUCCUUCGAUGUCGGCUCUUCCUAUCCUUGUCUUGCAGAAAAGACAAAGCGUUGGAUUGUUCACCCAUUAAAAGGGAACGUGAGCUGGGUUUAGACCGUCGUGAGACAGGUUAGUUUUAUCCUACUGUCGAGUAUAGAAAUCUAAUUGCAACAAUAGCAAUUUAUAAUAUAGAGUAGUUUUGAUAGUAAUUUAAUUCAGUACGAGAGGAACCAUUAAUUCAUAUAAUUGGUAAUGCACCUGAUUGAAAAGUCAAUGGUGCAAAGCUAACAUAUGUUUGUUUAUAGCUGAACGCCUCUAAGCUAGAAACGAACCUAAAGACAGAACUAUAUAUUCAUUAGGAGGACAAUUAACAUUUCUUGU
rnacentral:rRNA from 1 species